rnacentral:rRNA from 1 species
AACUCGACUACAUGAAGCUGGAAUCGCUAGUAAUUGCGAAUCAGAAUGUCGCGGUGAAUACGUUCCCGGGUCUUGUACACACCGCCCGUCACACCAUGGGAGUUGGCGACGCCCGAAGUCAGUGACCCAACCUUAACAGGAGGGAGCUGCCGAAGGCGGGGCUGAUAACUGGGGUGAAGUCGUAACAAGGUAUC